rnacentral:rRNA from 1 species
AACGAACGCUGGCGGCAGGCUUAACACAUGCAAGUCGAACGCCCCGCAAGGGGAGUGGCCGCCGGGUGAGUAACGCGUGGGAACAUACCCUUUCCUGCGGAAUAGCUCCGGGAAACUGGAAUUAAUACCGCAUACGCCCUACGGGGGAAAGAUUUAUCGGGGAAGGAUUGGCUCGCGUUGGAUUAGCUAGUUGGUGGGGUAAAGGCCUACCAAGGCGACGAUCCAUAGCUGGUCUGAGAGGAUGAUCAGCCACAUUGGGACUGAGACACGGCCCAAACUCCUACGGGAGGCAGCAGUGGGGAAUAUUGGACAAUGGGCGCAAGCCUGAUCCAGCCAUGCCGCGUGAGUGAUGAAGGCCUUAGGGUUGUAAAGCUCUUUCACCGAUGAAGAUAAUGACGGUAGUCGGAGAAGAAGCCCCGGCUAACUUCGUG